GAGAGACAGAAGUGAGUUGAGUGUGUGUGUAGUCUUGUGUUGUGUGAUGUCCAGAGAAAUGUUGGUGAUGUUUGGACUGAUGCUUCUGAUGUUACAGAUGAUCUCAUGUGUGGAUCAGACGUGCAGGUUUAAUCAGACAGAAAUCUGUUAUGCAGCUCUGGGACACAAACUCUCUCUGCAGAUGGUUCCAGAUUCUCAACACUAUGACGCAACAUUAAAACAUCACAAAACUGGCGACACAACAGUUGAUCCAACAUGUAAAAUUAAAAAUGACACGAUUAAGAGAUGUGAUCUUUACGUGAUCAGAUCUGAUGUUCUGAUCACUAACGGUGCUGUGAUUAUAAAUGGUGUGAUCAGAGAAGAUUCAGGGAAAUACACAUUAGAUCUUUAUGACUCGACUGGCUCAGUAACAUAUAAAGAACUUCACGUGAAUGUUGAAGUUCCAGCUGUUGGUCUCAUUGUGUUGGGUUGUGUUACUGUGAUUCUCGUUGUGUUGUUCAUCACAGUUUAUCACAUUUACAAGAGGAAGAAACAUCACAAGUCAACAGCAGAACAUCAGACAGAGAGGAAAGAGAUGAAGGAUGAAGAGCUUCAGUAUGGUGAAGUGACGUUUACUCCAGACAUGUCCAACAUUCAACAACAGCAGCGGAGGUGUAAAGAACAGGACGAGUGUGUGUACUCUCACAUCAAAUAAACAAACACAUCCACAUAGUUCUGAGCAUAUCGUGAAUAGUCGCAUGAACUUUUAAAUUGAUUUUUUAGCUCAAGUAUUUGUGUGUAAAUAUUUAUUGAGAGAGAGAGAAUGUACAGCGGCUUAAAUGUUUUUAAAAUGUUUUAUCAGAAGCAGGUGGACUGAAAAGUCAGAAGUAAAUUUGUCGGCUGUCUCUUGUUGUGUUGUAUUUUUUAUUUACAGUAUGUACAGUAAAACUUCACUUGUGUAUCAGUACACACUUCACUGUUUGUUUUUUUCAAGGAUUAGGAUAUUUCAUUUCUUUCUUGUGACACACAGUUAGGUCCAUACAUAUUUGGACAGAGGCACAUUUUUUGUUAUUUUAGCUGCACCAAACUGUAUUCAAGUUAGGGUUUUAUAAUGGAUGUCUUAAAGUGCACGCUCUCAACUUUAUCACUCUGUGAUCAAACAUGUGAUAUUUAAAUGUUGAUUAUUUCAUCUUGAUGAGAUGAGUUUCACUCACAUGAGAUCAUCUGUAACAUCAGCAGCAUCAGUCCAAACAUCACCAACAUUUCUCUGGACAUCACACAACACAAGACUACACACACACUCAACUCACUUCUGUCUCUCUCUGGACUGACAGUUUUAUUGAGAAAGAGGAAGUUUCAGACACACACUGGAAAACCACUAACAGACUUUAAAGAGAGAGAGAGAAAUGCACCCAUGUGCAGGAUUGAUACACUUCAGCUUCAAGUGUGUCAAGAUGAGCUGAAUAAACGCAGGAGACCUGUCUCUCUCUGAUCUGAUCUGAUGUGUUUCUCACUGGACUGACAGUUUUAUUGAGAAAGAGGAAGUUUUAUUGCAAACUAAUGGUGAAACGUUUCCAGUAAUAGACUUUAUAAUGAGACACACAAAUUGACUUUAAAGUGCAUCAAAGGAUUUUAAUUCACUUCGCAGACGCACAUACUCUCCACUUCACGUCAGGUGGUUCUCGGCCUCCAUGUCGUACAUUAAAAUCCUUUAACGCACGGCUAGCUUUGGAUUAUCCUACUUAUACCAUGGUCAUUUGUCAAGCUACAGCUGUUAUUGAUGUUUACAGUGUCAUUUUUGAUCAGAAAGUGAGUAUACCACGAUUCAUCGAGCAACCUUGGUAAAUUGGAAUUACACUUCAAAUCCGCGAGAUUACGCCAGGACCAGAUGAACGUCAUAUGCCCAUCCCUAACUAGAGAUUACGCCAGCUCCAUCUGAACAUCCCGUGCCAUCCUCCUGCAAGAGCCUGCGGACUGACUGACCAUCCCAGCUCCAGCUCAGGCAAUUCCAUCACCACCCUAAAGCACAACUAAUGAGCUCUCCCUUUUCUUCAUGAACAUGUCCUCAGUAAGUGUUAAUGAAAGUCAGUGAGUGCAGCUGUGACACGUCAGAGGAGACCUGGUCCUCCCGGCUGAGUCCGGUUUCUUUCACUGGAGUUUGGCUUCCUCGCCACAGGUCUGAUAUUAGAUAUUAUUAGAUAUGAUUUACUAGAAUGAUCUUACUUGCUCUAGAAACACCAUGCACUGUGCUGUGUUUGACACUUUCUGUGUUUUCUGUUUUCUCCUGUAAAGCUGCUUUGGAACAAUCCACAUUGUGAAAAGCGCUAUAUACAUAAAAUUGAAUUGAAUUAUUUUGCUCAUUGGAAACUAAUGAUAAAUAUCCCACUUUAUUUAUAUUAGCUGCUAAUUCAUUUGGUCAAGUAGCUAAUAUAAGCUAGCAAGACAACAUCAGCUAGCAAAAAAUUCAAGAAGGUGUUUGUUUUAAUAUUAGGCUAUUUCUCACAUCUUAAUGUUCUGCAGGUUGUAUUUAGAUUUAACAUUUGUGUAUUGUUAAAAAACUUCUUGCAAAAUGGACUGUUUGAUAAUCGCUCUGUUCUUCUGUCCUGUGAUGGCACUCAGUACAUUUAAGAUCUGUGGUUUGCAUACUUCACAGUUUGCUUUGAACACCAAAGCAGAAUCUUUGCUCGUUUUUUUCUCCCAGGUCGAGCACACGAGAUCACGUCCAGCCCACAACUGUGAUAGGCUAUAGUCCUUCUCAGCUGUGUGAUGAACAUUCUGGUAUUAUCUGAGAAGAAAAUGUGUAGCAUUUAUACACAAAUACAGUCUCUGAAAGUAUUUAAUGACAAAUUACAUCUAAACUGUUCAGAAAAAUGAUCAAAUGUGUAAAGUAAUUUUAUGCCUUCAAAUAAAAUAUGAAAAA